rnacentral:rRNA from 1 species
AACGAACGCUGGCGGCAUGCCUAACACAUGCAAGUCGAACGAGACCUUCGGGUCUAGUGGCGCACGGGUGCGUAACGCGUGGGAACCUGCCCUUAGGUUCGGAAUAACUCCCCGAAAGGGGUGCUAAUACCGGAUAAUGUCUUCGGACCAAAGAUUUAUCGCCUUUGGUGGGCCCGCGUUGGAUUAGCUAGUUGGUAGGGUAAAAGCCUACCAAGGCGACGAUCCAUAGCUGGUCUGAGAGGAUGAUCAGCCACACUGGGACUGAGACACGGCCCAGACUCCUACGGGAAGCAGCAGUGGGGAAUAUUGGACAAUGGGCGAAAGCCUGAUCCAGCAAUGCCGCGUGAGUGAUGAAGGCCUUAGGGUUGUAAAGCUCUUUUACCCGGGAUGAUAAUGACAGUACCGGGAGAAUAAGCUCCGGCUAACUCCGUG